rnacentral:rRNA from 1 species
GACGAACGCUGGCGGCGUGCCUAAUACAUGCAAGUAGGACGCAGUUGCGAACGGGUGAGUAACACGUAGGUAACUACCUAUUAGAGGGGGAUAACUAUUGGACACGAUAGUUAAUACCGCAUACUAGUAGAUGGACCUGCGUUGUAUUAGUUAGUAGGUAGGGUAAUGGUCUACAUAGGCAACGAUACAUAGCCGACCUGGGAGGGUGAUCGGCCAAACUGGGAAUACGACACGUCCCAGAAUCCUACGGGAGGCAGCAGUAGGGAAUUUUCGGCAAUGGGGGGAACCCGGACCGAGCAACGCGGCGUGAGUGAAGAAGGUUUUCGGAUCGUAAAGCUCUGUUGUUAUGGAAGCGGUACUUAACCAGAAAGGGACGGCUAACUACGUGCCAGCAGCCGCGGUAAUUC